rnacentral:rRNA from 1 species
AUUGAACGCUGGCGGCAGGCUUAACACAUGCAAGUCGAGCGAGCGGCGGACGGGUGAGUAAUGUCUGGGAAACUGCCUGAUGGAGGGGGAUAACUACUGGAAACGGUAGCUAAUACCGCAUACCAUCAGAUGUGCCCAGAUGGGAUUAGAUAGUAGGUAGGGUAAUGGCUCACCUAGGCGACGAUCCCUAGCUGGUAUGAGAGGAUGACCAGCCACGCUGGAACUGAAAGACGGUUCCGACUGCUACGGGAGUCAGCAGUGGGGAAUAUUGCACAAUGGGCGCGAGCCUGAUGCCGCCGUGCCGCGUGUGGGAGGAAGGCCUUCGGGUUGUAACGCGCUUUCAGCGAGGAGGCGUUACUCGCAGAAAAGGCACCGGCUAACACCGUGCCCGCAGCCGCGGUAAUAC